rnacentral:lncRNA from 1 species
AAGGGGAAAGCCCAGAAAGAAAAGAAAAUAUUGAUAUUUAGGUUGAUCUACUUGGCCAGCCUGGUUACAGUAAAAGAAGAAUCAGCCAAAGGAAGUGAUUUAAGAUAAAUUCAAGCUUCUUGUCUAUCAGUCAAAACGAGGAAAGAAGAAAAGAUCAGUGGCAUCUCUGCAGUGCCAGGACACAGGUUCGAUCCCCUGCCAGCACAGUGGAUUAAAGGAUUCGGCAUUGCCACAGCUAUGGCUUGGAUC